UAGACACAUGUAGGUAGAGGAUCCACAGAGGAAGAAGAGACCUUGUGUGAGGCAAAACUGGAGAUGUAAACUAAAAAGGUGAGAAGGAGGGCUGAAAGGGGUGUCUUGUACCCAGACUCCUAGGGAUCCAGCUAGGGCAGCAGCUGUCAGAGAUUGUAAUGGGGACUGAUGGGGUCACUGCAUAGAGGAGGAGGUUCGAUUUUCAUGGUGUAUGAGAAAACGUUGAGUAUCUACGAGCAACCUUUCACUGUUUUUUUCGGGGCUGGGUAUAAGUAAACAAGAAGAGGGCCUGGGAGGAGAGUCUGACGAGCAAGGGGAAGAUAGGCAAGGAUGGAGUGAAAUACAGGGCUGUCAGCUUCUUUGGGCAAAGACUGAGUCAUCUCUGCAUUCUCAGCACCUGGUGCAAUUUAAGCAGAAAUAUCUUGAAGAUUUUUCGUAUCUUCAGGGAGAUUAGGAAUGGGAAUGGAAUGGGAACGCCAAUGCAGGAAGGAUGAGAAGAGAGUGUCUGCAGAUCUGAUAAUAACUGUAAAAUAACAUGGCCACACUGAGAUACAGAGGGAAGGUUAAGCCUCCUUGAACUUACUUAAAUUGGUGGCAGCACGAGCUUUCAGCAUCAUGGCCAGCAUGACCAAGCCAUUUCCCUGGUGUUCCCCUCAGCAUGAAACAUCUGUCUACUUAUUUCUUUGCUGAGCCUGAAUGGAAUAUUCCAUCUCUGAAAAAUAAACUUUGUGUUUAAAUUGAAAUCUUUAUUCCUAUCUGGCAAAUUGGCUAUAUAUCCUCAACAAUUGGAAGGAAGUGAUGUAUCUGCUGCCAUCAGCUACAAAGCACUGGACGCCCACUGUGCUAUUUAUUAGAUUUACAUGAAUUCCAGGUGAAUCUGAUCCAGUGGCUACAAAAAAAGAUCUGAAACUUCUAUAAGCCCAGCAUCUAAAUCAGUUUUUGACUGAAAUGAGUACAGGCAAGCUCUGAGGCAGCUCUAUCCAGGGCUAUGACAAGAAUGAAGUGAACACAUUUUACCCUACAUGGAAAUGUCCAUUCCAACAAGUGCUAAUUUGACAAUGGUAAUGAUUACUAUGGGUUGAAUUGGAUUAUCCCAAAAGAUAUGUUAAAGUCCUAACCCCUGGUUCCUGUAAAUGUGAUUGUAUUUGGAAAUAGGAUGGAUGCAGAUAUCAUUAGUUAACAUACUGGAGUAGGGUGGAUCUUUAAUUAAAUAAAACUGAUGUCUUUGUAAGAA
rnacentral:lncRNA from 1 species